GAUGAACGCUGGCGGCGUGCCUAAUACAUGCAAGUCGAGCGAACAGAUGAGGAGCUUGCUCCUCUGACGUUAGCGGCGGACGGGUGAGUAACACGUGGAUAACCUACCUAUAAGACUGGGAUAACUUCGGGAAACCGGAGCUAAUACCGGAUAAUAUAUUGAACCGCAUGGUUCAAUAGUGAAAGACGGUUUUGCUGUCACUUAUAGAUGGAUCCGCGCCGCAUUAGCUAGUUGGUAAGGUAACGGCUUACCAAGGCAACGAUGCGUAGCCGACCUGAGAGGGUGAUCGGCCACACUGGAACUAAGACACGGUCCAGACUCCUACGGGAGGCAGCAGUAGGGAAUCUUCCGCAAUGGGCGAAAGCCUGACGGAGCAACGCCGCGUGAGUGAUGAAGGUCUUCGGAUCGUAAAACUCUGUUAUUAGGGAAGAACAAAUGUGUAAGUAACUAUGCACGUCUUGACGGUACCUAAUCAGAAAGCCACGGCUAACUACGUG
rnacentral:rRNA from 1 species